CUGGCCUCAAAUCAGGCAGGACUACCCGCUGAACUUAAGCAUAUCAAUAAGCGGAGGAAAAGAAACUAACWAGGAUUCCCCUAGUAACGGCGAGUGAAGCGGGAAAAGCUCAAAUUUGAAAUCUGGCGGUCUACGGCCGUCCGAGUUGUAGUCUAGAGAGGUGUCUUCUGCGUCGGACCAUGCACAAGUCCCUUGGAACAGGGCGUCAUAGAGGGUGAGAAUCCCGUCCGUGGCAUGGACUCCCGGUGCUUUGUGAUGCGCCUUCGAAGAGUCGAGUUGUUUGGGAAUGCAGCUCAAAAUGGGUGGUAAAUUCCAUCUAAAGCUAAAUACAGGCGAGAGACCGAUAGCGAACAAGUACCGUGAGGGAAAGAUGAAAAGCACUUUGGAAAGAGAGUUAAACAGUACGUGAAAUUGUUGAAAGGGAAACGCUUGGAGUCAGUCGCGUUUGCCGGGACUCAGCCUUGCUUCUGCUUGGUGCACUUCCUGGUACACGGGCCAGCAUCGAUUUUGAUCGCCGGAAAAAGGCUUGGGGAAGGUGGCACCUUCGGGUGUGUUAUAGCCCCUUGUUGUAUACGGUGGUUGGGAUUGAGGACCGCAGCACGCCUUUUGGUCGGGGUUCGCCCACGCCACGUGCUUAGGAUGCUGGCGUAAUGGCUUUAAACGACCCGUC
rnacentral:rRNA from 1 species